AUUGAACGCUGGCGGCAGGCCUGACACAUGCAAGUCGAACGGCAGCGGGGGAUAGCUUGCUAUCCUGCCGGCGAGUGGCGGACGGGUGAGUAAUGCAUGGGGAGCUGCCCAGUCGAGGGGGAUAACAACUGGAAACGGUUGCUAAUACCGCAUACGCCCUAAGGGGGAAAGGUGGGGAACUUCGGUCCUACCGCGAUUGGAUGCGCCCAUGUGGGAUUAGCUAGUUGGUGAGGUAACGGCUCACCAAGGCGACGAUAUCUAGCUGGUCUGAGGGGAUGACCAGCCACACUGGCACUGCGACACGGUCCAGACUCCUACGGGAGGCAGCAGUGGAGAAUAUUGCACAAUGGGGGAAACCGUGAUGCAGCCAUGCCGCGUGUGUGAAGAAGGCCUUCGGGUUGUAAAGCACUUUCAGUCAGGAGGAAGGGGUGAUGGCUAAUAUCCAUCAUCAUUGACGUUACUGACAGAAGAAGCACCGGCUAACUCCGUGCCAGCCGCCGCAGUAA
rnacentral:rRNA from 1 species